CAUUGGUCCUCUCGCAACAGAGAGUUGUGAACUCCGCCAGGCCCGGAAGGGAGCAACGGUAGCAGCGUAUUUGUGUGCCGGGAUGUGGCUGGUGUGG
rnacentral:SRP_RNA from 1 species